AGCGAACGCUGGCGGCAGGCUUAACACAUGCAAGUCGAGCGGGCGUAGCAAUACGUCAGCGGCAGACGGGUGAGUAACGCGUGGGAACAUACCUUUUGGUUCGGAACAACACAGGGAAACUUGUGCUAAUACCGAAUAAGCCCUUACGGGGAAAGAUUUAUCGCCGAAAGAUUGGGCCCCGACGUCUGAUUAGCUUUGUUGGUGAGGUAACGGCUCACCAAGGCGACGAUCAGUAGCUGGCUGAGAGGAUGAUCAGCCACACUUGGGACUGAGACACGGCCCAAACUCCUACGGGAGGCAGCAGUGGGGAAUAUUGGACAA
rnacentral:rRNA from 1 species